rnacentral:rRNA from 1 species
UUCGCAAUGCCCGAAAGGGUGACGAAGCGACGCCGCGUGCGGGAAGAAGGCCUUCGGGUUGUAAACCGCUGUCGGGAGUUAAGAAAUGCAAGGAUGUUAAUAGCAUUCUUGCUUGACUAAGGCUCCGGAGGAAGCCACGGCUAACUCUGUGCCAGCAGCCGCGGUAAUACAGAGGCGGCAAGCGUUGUUCGGAAUUAUUGGGCGUAAAGAGCACGUAGGCGGCUAUGUAAGUCGGUUGUGAAAGCCUUCCGCUCAACGGAAGAACAGCAUCCGAUACUGCAUGGCUUGAGUGCGGGAGGGGAGAGUGGAACUUCUGGUGGAGCGGUGAGAUGCGUAGAUAUCAGAAGGAACGCCGGCGGCGAAAGCGACUCUCUGGCCCGUAACUGACGCUGAGUGUGCGAAAGCUAGGGGAGCAAACGGGAUUAGAUACCCCGGUAGUCCUAGCCGUAAACGAUGGGCACUAAGUAGAGGGGUUUU